UGGUGCAGUGGUUAAGCAUGCUCAGCUGCUAACUGUAAGGCCGGUGGUUCAAACCCGCC
rnacentral:tRNA from 1 species